CUUUCCUCCUGGGUAUGGAUCAGUAUCCUUUCUGGAAUGGGGCUCUCAUAACCUACUGUUCAACAAGCUACUCUUUAGAGGUAUGAUGGAUCUCCCCACAAAGUCUGGUUCAGGUGUCAAGACCUACACACCAAGAAACGAUGAGAAGAAUUAUCAUUCACAUGAGACUUUCUGGGGCAAGCAGAGUGGCUACCAAACAGGUCUUAAAAUGGCUUGAGAAAUCCAGCCAAUAUUGAGAUUUGAAGUUCAGGAUAGAAAACAGCAUCAAUAUUAUCAG
rnacentral:lncRNA from 1 species